UUUUCAAGUGACAGUUGCUUAAAACAUAAACAUAAAUUCAGAGACCGAACAGCAAAAUCAGCACUUGGAAACUCGGUAUUACUCAGCAGAUUCUGCACAUCCCAGCAGCCCCUCCUGGUGUGCAGACAGGUGGCAGCAGAGAGCCACAACACCCCAGCUCCACCGCUGCACAAUGUACAUGUCUGUUAUUCCGUGUCAGUUCCAUCUUUUAGUGUCUUUUUUCAGGAUGUCCAGACGGUGAAACAUCACUUGAACUAGGCAGACAUGACCCUUGACAACAAAGUAAUGCAUCACAAGAGUGCAGCUCUGCAUAUUAUUCACUCAAGAGUAUUGUAUCAAUUACAGCUGACCGCCAGUCAGGUGGGUCUGCGGGACAUUUUAGAACACAGAGGGGCAGCCAGAUUGUUCUGUGCCUCCAACCUACUCCCAGACUUCAGCCAGAGUCCCGCUGAGGGCCUUGUCCCGGACAGUGCAGAGAGACACCUGGCCAAACCGCAGAAACACUUCCAGCUGCAAACUGCCUGAUGCUUACCACAGAGAGAAUCCAGGCCAAAGAUGAUACUUCAAAAGCUGCUGUCCAUUGUUCCACCAUUUAUAUUAAUCUAAGUGCCACAGUCGUGCAGGUUCAUUGAAAUGUCACAAAUACUGUAAACAUAUGAUUCACCCUGAACCUGCGGUCAACACAAAAGCAGCACGCCGGGUUUUUCAAGACGUGACAUCUCUUCCAUUCCGGCUCAGAGCAUUGUUCGAGCGCACCGAGAGUUUCAGGACAGGAAGCCGGCAGCUUGUUCCAGACGGAGCAGCAGAAUGGAACACGUCUUUAUUUGAGGGAAGUCAUUCCGUUGAUAUAUAAAACACCAAAGCAAAGUUUCCUUCCCCUUUACUUUCCUGAUGCUAUCCUCUUCAAAAGGACACAAUCCUUUUUACUGGGCUCACAUGCACACACGGGACAAGAAGAAAAACAAACAGAAGCCGUUUAAAUAUCAACCAACCUGACUUCUGUUUGAGUGAAGAGGCUACUGCGCGGCUCUGGACACGGCUUGGUAAGCUGCUGUAAAGCUUAAACUGAGAAAAUAUCCUGAGAAUAAAAUGUAAUUUUAUUUUGCAUUACAAACUCCACAGGAAUGACUUUUUAACCUCAAGAAAGAACCAAACAACAUUAAAGAGAGCAAAAAGGAGACUGCCCCCCCUUUUUUUCUGAGUUUAAAACAAGUUCAAGCUGAUUUAACUAAAUGUAUAUGUAAAUGUAAAGUUGGAAUGAAAAUAAAUUGUAGGAGCCACUUGUACAGUUUUUUUUUUAAUCAGAAGAAGCCUUUAGCAGUUAGGCUCAACAGACAAUUUCCUGCUUGCAACACUGAAAGUGACCACAGAAAACACAGAAACAAAAAAAGGGGGUGAAAUGUUUGUGAAGGGUCUUUAUCAAUAUUCACAUCUUUUUUUGUUUAAAGCAUUCAGUAGUUUACAAAAGUGGGAGGUUCAGUGUUUUUAGCCUAAUUUUGUUUCAUGUGUUUUAAUAUGAGAAAAACAGCAAUUUUUCUAAAAAGAUCAAUGAUUUUACAAAGUGAUCAGUAACCAAUUCCACCUAAACAAGCCCACUUUUCACAGUUUGAUAUUUCUCUGUCUUUUGGCCAGAUUUUCCCAUAAGGGUGUGGGAGGAGAGGAAGAGGACCACCUAUUAAAGUGAAACUUUAGGAGUGAUGGAUGGGAGCUUGUUGAGGGGGAGCAGAGGGGCUUGCUCACACCCCAGGGGAGGAGGAUGAUGAACAGGGAGGGGAGGGGAGGUGGAAGGGAGAGUUCAACUCACACCUCUCGCUGAGGGGAUGGAGACCUCCCAUGCUGUGUGACUUAAACAUUACAUUGACUUCAUCCCCAAUUUCAACUUUAGCCUUUUUUCCCUAAAAUUCUCUGCUUUCAUCUUAGAUUUUUAUGGUUGAAAAGUAUGCCCCUCCGGGGAAUUUUAAAUUGGUAUUAAUGACUUUCAUUUACGUUAGUAAGUUCUAGUGCAGGGCGGCAGUUGUUGGUUAUGUUUGUUUUUUUCUAUUUUGUACAUAGCUAAUCUAAAAAACAAAUAAGAAACCACUUGUCCCUCAGAUAAACUCUGUAUUUGUCAAAAUUAGUGGCGCAUGAAGUUUUUUAAGUUGCAUUGUAAGAUUUUUUAAGAAGCGGUCCAAUACAAUCUGCAGAAAUAUUUAUACACCAGACUCAUGCGCAAAAUCUUGGCUUAUAUAACCACUGUGGUGGGUAGUUAUAUGUGAUAAAUAAUUAUAUAUAUCAUAACGUGAUAAAUAAAUAUACUAAUCAUUUAAAUAUAUAUAUAUAUAGAUCUAUAUAUUUAUUUAUGCAUUACCAUGUCUGUAUCAACAGUAGGGGUAGGCUCCAGCAGCCUGUGAUCCUGAAAGGGGUUAAGCAGGUUUGGAAAAUGGAUGUUUAAAAAAUACGUAAAUAAAAAUGUGUUUCUUUGUAAAUAAUAUUAUCUCUUAUUAAGAUAUUAGUGUCUGUAAGUGUCUUAGUAAGCAACUAAGAAGAUUCAUUAAUAAAAUGAUUCAUAGUACAUUUAUUUAUAACAUUUUGUCAUCCAUAUAAAUAUCCACCAUGGUGAUAAUACAAGCCAAGAUUUUUUGCAUGAGUCAGGUGUAUAAAUAAUUCUAUGUCCCAUAACUAAUAUGUCAGUAUUACUUUUUUAUUUUAUUUUAAUUUAACAUAAAAUUGGAAGGCAAAUUGCCAUGUUUACAGCUUUUUUUGACUGUGCUGCUCACAAAAAAGUAAAUAAAUAAAAGUCACAUGAUGUUCCAUUUGUGUAUAGAGAAGCCUUUGCGGUUUAAUGCCUGAUGUGGAGAAAUUGUUGCAGCAGUAGUUUACCUUUAACUGUCAGGAAAUGACCCAUAAUCUGCAAGUGUUUGACUGCUGCAGCAUUCCUGUGAAAUGAGACAAGUUGAGGUAGAUUAGGGGUUGGGCAAUUAGCUCAUUAGUUAACAUAAACACAUGGCAGGGCUCCCCCAUUUCUACACACUGUGCCACCCCCAUACUGCCCACAGCUGGUGGUCAAAAUUAGUCCUCAAACUCCCAAACUCUGACACACACACUGCACUCAGACCACUUCAUCAUCAAUUCUGCGUUUUUUUCCUCCUUUAGUUUGCCGUCGCUUUUUUUCUGGGCCUCAUCAUCUCCUCUGUUCUGCUUUGCUCCAGACAAGCCACUUUUUCAUGUUGUAUUCCUGGGGGCUGGGGGCCAGCCACUUUUAACCAGCACCUCGCAGCUUAUCAAAGCACUUUAUCAGCCUGAGGGGAAAGACAUGAGGGUUAAGCCCUUCACUUCUGCUGCCCUGCAGCUCCGAAAAGCAGCAGGCUUUCAGCAAACAAAUAUUUGUAAGCUGGAGCUCUGAGAAGUGCCUUCUGAUGGAGAGAAAAGCUUUUGCUUCUUGUGUUUCAGUUGAGGUUCCUAUGAGCGUUAGUGUGUGUGAGCAGGAGAGGAAGAGAGUGUGUGCUGUAAAAAUACAGGGCAUCCUUUGUGCUGCAAGGUAAGCCAUUCCCUCCAUACAUCCCUGUUCAUUACUAGGAGCACAGAUGCUGAGCAUUUGACUGAAAUGCCUGGCCACAUUUUAAUUCCAAAAGGAGGCUUUCUACUCUCUCACCCUUUAGGUUUGGACAUCCAGGCUUCCUUUCCUUUCCUUCUUUUGACAACAUUUUCACCAAUUGAUCGAAAUCUAGUAAAACAUCGCAUCAAAUAAUAAACUUAUGAGGAAAAUGUCAGUCAGCAGAGCACCUCGACCUUAGGUGACAAGCAACUUUUCAUCCCAAAGCAGGACGGGGUGUGUUGCGAGUAGUAACAGAAACCCUGCUUUACUGUUAAAAAGCAUGAAUGAGCAUUUGUGGGACUUUUCACUGUGCUGGUCUUGUUGUGUCAGGAAGCUGCGCCGUCGGGUCGUGUGAUGCCCGAGAGGUCUGAAGGUGGGGUGAGCUGACGACAGAGGAGGAAGGAAAGAGGCUGGAAUAUCAGAAAAAGAAAAUGCGCAUGGGAAUUAAUGAGUUGCAGUUUGCUAGGCAAAUUGGUAGUUUGGACACUGAGCCAAGAGACGGAAUAGCAGACCAUUGAUCACCAUCUGUGCCGACAGGGUUUAAAGUGUUGCGCGUUGUUUUUUGGUAAUCUAUUGAAAAAGUUAACAGUGAGCCAUCACUUUGGUUUUGUGCUGCAUUUCUGUGCUGCAGAAAAGAGUGAUAUGGCUAGUUGUGAGUUCUAUUUAUCUUUUUUCUAAUACGUGAAAAGAAACCACACCGGUGUCCUCACUGGUUUGAUUUUCUUUCUGGCAAACUUUGUUAAAUUAAACCAUUAAAUUAGCAAAGACAAGAUCUGAAUUGAAAGUGUUUUCGCAGAAUCUUUUUGUGUUUCUGAAGGUAAAAC